GCUGGGCACAGUGGCACAUGCCUGUAAUCCCAGCAGCCAGGGAGGCUGAGGCAGGAGGAUCAUGAGUUCAAAGCCAGCCUCAGCAAAAGUGAAGCACUAAGCAAUUCAGUGAGACCCUGUCUCUA
rnacentral:sRNA from 1 species